UACCAGCACCCCGAGUGGUCGGGACGAUUAUUGGGCCUAAAGCAUCCGUAGCCGGUCCUGCAAGUCUUCCGUUAAAUCCAGCUGCUUAACAGAUGGGCCGCAGGAGAUACUACAGGGCUAGGAGGCGGGAGAGGCAAGCGGUACUUUAUGGGUAGGGGUAAAAUCCGCUGAUCCAUAGAAGACCACCAGUGGCGAAGGCGGCUUGCCAGAACGCGCUCGACGGUGAGGGAUGAAAGCUGGGGGAGCAAACAGG
rnacentral:rRNA from 1 species